UAGAAACACACUCUUUUUCUUUCUCUGAAAUCUAAAAGCAGUUUUUCCUCAAAUCUUUAAAACCAAUUUCUUGGGAUGGAGUCAUAUUUUUAGUAGAAAUAUGCUAAAUUGGUGACUCCCACCCACAGUCUUUUCUGCAAGGAGAGAGACUCUUCUGAGAAACUGGAGCGAGGAGCUGAGGAAAUUUUCAACUCAACGGAAUUUCCCCUGAGACUGUAAAGAAACACAGAAUAAGCUGUAAACAGAGGUGCUACCACAAGGACCGGAAGCAGAGACCACACUGGUGCUCAGCUGGGUUGCAGGCUCUGCCUGGUUUCAUUGUCGGGGAAGCCACCAGGCCUGCCCCCAGCCAGCGAGAUGUCACGCAUGCAGCCGGGUGUCAUCCCCAAAACUCCCGGGAAACUCUCGGGGCACCAGGGCAGGAAGAGGCUGACGUCAACUUUAACUCCGGGGACUUCAAACGAAACUUUUAGAAAUGAUUCCUUUGCCCUUUACUUGGUGACGUAAUAAACUGAUCUUUCUCUGAAAAGAUGGGCCGAUUUGCUUCAAGGAGCUCAUUUCAUGAGGAGAAAAUACACACAAAUAUAUAUAUAUAUAUAUAUAUAUUUUUUUUCUUUUUUUUUUUGAGACGGAGUUUCCCUCUGUCACCCAGGCUGGAGUGCAGUGGCUCAAUCUCGGCUCACUGCAACCUCAGCCUCCAGGUUCAGGGGAUUCUCCUGCCUCAGCCUCCCUGAGUAGCUGGGAUUACAGGCAUGUGCCACCACACCUGGCUAACUUUUGUAUUUUUAGUAGAGACGGGGUUUCACCAUGUUGGUCAGCUGUUCUCGAACUCCUGACCUCAGGUGAUCUGCCCGCCUCAGCCUCCCAAAGUGCUGGGAUUACAGACGUGAGCCAUCAUGCCCA
rnacentral:lncRNA from 1 species